UCUUCACUUCCCCCUCCCCCUCUUCUUCUUCCUGCCUAACCAUCCCCUCUACUUCUUCUUCUCCAUGUCCAGGAUAUCCAUGAUCCCCAGGCUCCUUCACCUUCCACCACCACCAUUCGGCCUUGCACAUGCCACGUCUCCACCUUACUCUUCCUCAUCUACUGCCUCUCAGCUUUGCUCUUUCCCGACAAGCUCACCCUCAGCCUCCUAGUCCCGUCAAUGCCUUGCUCCUUCCGAGCCACCUAUGACUAAUGGCAAGCAGAGCAGCAUCCUCCCUUCUUGAUGGCAGCAACUCCCUACCCCUUCACUAAGCCAAGUUCAACGGUUGUGAUUCCCCCCCUUGCUGCUUUCGACCCCAACCCGAGCACCAGCAUGAUCUAUAGGAUGAUGCACCCAGCCAUGAGAGAGAGUGUGGAAUAUAUACAGAAUCGAUGGUGACAUGACCCAUUUGAUCAGUAUCCCAAUCUUCCUCUUCAAAAUCUGCAACACCAAAUCAUAUUCAGGCAUUCUCAAUGAGUGUGGGCGGUGGAUCGUCCAACGAUACAAGUACAACCAAUGAGCGUGGAGGCGGAGGGAACUUUAUUGUUAUUGAAAUGAACUUCUUAUUGUAUGUGUAUACACUGGCCUUUGUUGGCUUGUGUUAGGAUUCAUAAAUUAUUAUGUAAUACUGGAUAAGACAAUUUGAUUCAUAUGUAAUUACAUUUAUCGCAAUUUGGUGACACCUUGUUGACAAA